rnacentral:tmRNA from 1 species
GGGGGCGAUGGGCUUUGACGGGGCAACUGAAAUGAAAGCCGGCAUACCGAGGGUUCUGGUCACCUCGUUAAUCCGACCCGAAGAAAAAACAUCCUGAAAUGGGAUACACAUUGGCUGCAUAAUAAUGUAGUCACGCUUGCCCAGGUGGUCAGCCCAGCCUGGGGCCAGGUGUCAUAGAGGGCUGAAGCCCAUCAAUUCCUGCCUUUGGAAUUGAUGCGGUACUCGAAAAGGCUGUCUCUUGCAGACCUGUCUCUUGGUGACGCGAGAGGAGACGCAUAAAGAGACUAAGUAUGUAGUCUGCUUCAUAGAAAUGCUCCGGACGCGGGUUCAAUUCCCGCCGCCUCCACCA